rnacentral:lncRNA from 1 species
UUUCUAGUUUCUCUUCCCUAGAAAUUGAAGGCGGCGGCGGCCACCCUUCAUCUCCAGCGGCGGCGGAAAAUAGAGAAGAAGGAGAGGAAGAAGAUCCCGUGUGAUUGAAGGAGUUUCUAGAGAAAUCCGAGCUCAAAGUGAAGGAUGAAUUCACGUCCAAAUGCUUCGAAGUCAAUAAUAGUUUGUUGUAUUUUGAUUGUAGAUUGAAUUGAUUCGGAUAAUAUUUUGUUGUAUUUUGAUUGUUGAUUUAGAGGAAUUGAUGUAUUUUGAUGGUAGAUUGAGUUGUUGUAUUUUGGUGUUGUACAACAAUUUGAUU